rnacentral:rRNA from 1 species
AGUGAACGCUGGCGGUAGGCCUAACACAUGCAAGUCGAACGGCAGCACAGUAAGAGCUUGCUCUUACGGGUGGCGAGUGGCGGAUGGGUGAGGAAUACAUCGGAAUCUACUUUUUCGUGGGGGAUAACGUAGGGAAACUUACGCUAAUACCGCAUACGACCUACGGGUGAAAGCAGGGGAUCUUCGGACCUUGCGCGAUUGAAUGCGCCGAUGUCGGAUUAGCUAGUUGGCGGGGUAAAGGCCCACCAAGGCGGCGAUCCGUAGCUGGUCUGAGAGGAUGAUCAGCCACACUGGAACUGAGACACGGUCCAGACUCCUACGGGAGGCAGCAGUGGGGAAUAUUGGACAAUGGGCGCAAGCCUGAUCCAGCCAUGCCGCGUGGGUGAAGAAGGCCUUCGGGUUGUAAAGCCCUUUUGUUGGGAAAGAAAAGCAGCAGGUUAAUACCCCGCUGUUCUGACGGUACCCAAAGAAAAAGCACCGGCUAACUUCGUG